rnacentral:rRNA from 1 species
AUGCCUGGGACGACGACAUCCCGCGCUCUCCUGCUCGCCAGCGUCGUCCUGACGGCGCACAUGUUCUUGUGCACGGCGUACGUCGGCGGCGAUGGGUUUAGCGUGGAGUUCAUCCACCGUGACUCCGUCAAGUCCCCGUAUCAUGACCCGUCGUUCACCGCGCACGCCCGCGUGCUCGAGGCCGCGCGCCGGUCCUCAACGCAGGCCGCUGCGCUCUCGCGGUCCUACGGCCGCGUCGACGCACCAUCAGCCGACGGCCCCGUCUCCGAGCUCACCUCCAGGCCCUUCGAGUACCUGAUGGCCGUGAACGUGGGCACCCCGCCCACCCGCAUGCUCGCCAUCGCCGACACCGGCAGCGACCUCAUCUGGCUUAAUUGCAGCAACGGAGAAGUGGCUCCUGGUCUGGCGGCCGCCCGGCACGCGCACGCGUCCGCUCCCGCUCCCGCGUCCGCGCCGCCGCCGGGCGUCCAGUUCAACUCCUCCAAUUCGACGACGUUCGGUCUCGUGAGCUGCAGCUCCGGCGCAUGCCGCGCGCUCCCCGAUGCCUCCUGCCCCGACUCCAAGUGCAGGUAUCUCUACUCCUACGGCGACGGCUCCCAGACGCGCGGCCUCCUCUCCACGGAGACCUUCACCUUCGCCGACGACCAAGGCACCCGCGGCGAUGGGAAGAUACGCGUGGCCAACGUCAACUUCGGCUGCUCCACGACCAUGAUGGGCUCGUUCAUCGGGGACGGCCUCGUCGGACUUGGCGGCGGCGAUCUCUCCCUCGUCAAUCAGUUAGGCGCAGACACAUCGCUCGGCCGGAGGUUCUCCUACUGCCUCGUGCCCUACUCCAUCAACGCCUCCUCCGUGGUCAACUUCGGCCCCCGCGCCACCGUGACGGAACCGGGCGCGGCGACGACGCCGCUGAUCCCAUCUGAAGUGAAGGCCUACUACACCGUCGAUCUCCAGUCCGUCAAGAUCGGGAACAAGACGCUCGCGGCGCCGCAGCAGUCCCCCGUCAUCGUCGACUCCGGCACGACGCUGACGUACCUCGCGAACGAGCUUGUGGACCCAUUGGUGGAAGAGCUGACCCGGAGGGUCAAGCUCCCGCCGGCGAAGUCGCCGGAAGAUCUCCUGCCACUGUGCUUCGACGUGAGCGGGGUACGGAAGGGGCAGGUGGCGGCGAUGAUCCCUGACGUGACGCUGGGGCUGGGCGGCGGCGCGACGGUCACGCUGAAGGCGGAGAACACGUUCGUGGAGUUGCAGGAGGGGACUCUGUGCUUGGCGGUGGCGGCGCCGUCUGACCAGUUUCAUCCUGUGUCCAUCAUCGGGAAUAUUGCGCAGCAGAACAUGCACGUCGGCUAUGACCUCGACAAGGGCACCGUGACCUUCGCCACAGCAGACUGCGCCAAGUCCUCCGGCUCUCUGUAUAUCUGA